rnacentral:rRNA from 1 species
AUUGAACGCUGGCGGCAUGCCUAACACAUGCAAGUCGAACGCAGUAGCAAUACUGAGUGGCAGACGGGUGAGUAACAUGUGGGAAUCUGCCUUGUGGUUCAGGACAACAUUGGGAAACCGAUGCUAAUACUGGAUAAGCCCUUACGGGGAAAGUUUUAAUGCCAUAAGAUGAGCCCGCAUUUGAUUAGUUAGUUGGUGAGGUAAUGGCUCACCAAGACAAUGAUCAAUAGCUGAUCUGAGAGGAUGAUCAGCCACACUGGGACUGAGAUACGGGCCAGACUCCUACGGGAGGCAGCAGUAGGGAAUAUUGGGGCAAAUGGAUGCAAGUCUGACCCAGCCAUGCCGCGUGCAGGAAGAAGGGUCCUCUGGAUUGUAAACUGCUUUUAUCGGGAAGAAUAGUUUCUUGUCGAGGGAAUGUGACGGUACCCGAUGAAUAAGCCACGGCUAACUACGUGCCAGCAGCCG